rnacentral:rRNA from 1 species
GACGAACGCUGGCGGCGUGCCUAAUACAUGCAAGUUGAGCGCUGAAGGUUGGUACUUGUACCGACUGGAUGAGCAGCGAACGGGUGAGUAACGCGUGGGGAAUCUGCCUUUGAGCGGGGGACAAAAUUUGGAAACGAAUGCUAAUACCGCAUAAAAACUUUAAACACAAGUUUUAAGUUUGAAAGAUGCAAUUGCAUCACUCAAAGAUGAUCCCGCGUUGUAUUAGCUAGUUGGUGAGGUAAAGGCUCACCAAGGCGAUGAUACAUAGCCGACCUGAGAGGGUGAUCGGCCACAUUGGGACUGAGACACGGCCCAAACUCCUACGGGAGGCAGCAGUAGGGAAUCUUCGGCAAUGGACAAAAGUCUGACCGAGCAACGCCGCGUGAGUGAAGAAGGUUUUCGGAUCGUAAAACUCUGUUGGUAGAGAAGAACGUUGGUGAGAGUGGAAAGCUCAUCAAGUGACGGUAACUACCCAGAAAGGGACGGCUAACUACGUG